AGAGAUACAACGCAAAUCAACGUUCUUCUAAAGCAAUUACCGUGAGGAGCCCGAUGCUUCGGCACCGUGAGGCUUCCAUGACCGUAGUAAUCCGUCAUAAGAAUGGAGAUCAAACAGGAAGAUCUUGGGUGCGACGCUAUUUAAUCUAAUAGAUUCCGUUGCAGUGAUCAGCCGAACAC
rnacentral:snRNA from 1 species